rnacentral:tRNA from 1 species
GGAAGGGUGGCCGAGUGGUUUAAGGCAGCGGUCUUGAAAACCGCCGUGGGGGAAACUCCACCGUGGGUUCGAAUCCCACCCCUUCCGCCA